rnacentral:lncRNA from 1 species
CGUAUUCGUAAAAAUAUUUGGAAAAGGAAGGGAUAUUCGAUAGCAUUAAAGGCUUUUUCUUUAGCGAAAUCUCUUUCUACCGGGAAUUCAAAAAGUUUUUUUGUACGCCAAACAAAAAUAAAUAAGUAAUAAAAAGUUCGAAUAAUUUGAAUCAACUUGAAAAAAGAAUUCAACUAUUAUCUAAUUGAACAAUUUAACGAUUUCUCUUUCAUGUUUGAUAUUAAUAUUGAUUAGCUCACCAAUCAAUACGUAAUGGAACCCGCUUCGCUUUUCUGAUUAAUAGAUAAAAUAAUAGAAUUAGGAAAUCUUCUAUUUACUGAACAAUAACUUUUUUGUUGACAAAAGAGUAAACAUCAUUUCUAUUCCAAGGUGGGGAGUUUCAUUUUCCCCAUCGACCUAUUUGCAGAAUUCCAUUAAANNNNNNNNNNNNNNNNNNNNNNNNNNNNNNNNNNCCUUAACCCAAUAGAGAAAAUUGCUUAAUGAAAUUCUGUAUGACUGGUUGUCAAUUUUGAGCGAUGCAAAAUAGGUUCUUUUCUUUCUAUUUUGUCCUCAAAAUCCAUUUUUUGUUUCAGAUUUCUGAAAUAAAAUAAAUAGGAAAUAGCUGAUUAAACAAUGAAACCAAAAAAUUUGGGAACUCUAUUCCUUAACUGAGUAUAGAACGGUUUAGUUACAAGAGUUCAAUUCGAGGAAAGCAUAAAAUAUAGGAAAGUCCCAGGUUAAAUAAAAAUAUGAUCAUUACGCUUAAACCGGGUUAUUCUAUUCCACCUCUUAGAAAGAAAAGAACUUUAAAAAAAAUACUUAAUAGCAUGGCGAUACAUUUAUACAACACUUCUACCCUGAGCACAUGCAAUGAAACCGUAGACAGUCAAGUGAAAUCCAAUCCACGAAAUAAUUUGAUAUAUGGACAGCAUCAUUGUGGUAAAGGUCGUAAUGCCAGAGGAAUCAUUACCGCAAGGCAUAGAGGGGGAGGUCAUAAGCGUCUAUACCGUAAAAGUCCCAGGUUAAAUAAAAAUAUGAUCAUUACGCUUAAACCGGGUUAUUCUAUUCCACCUCUUAGAAAGAAAAGAACUUUAAAAAAAAUACUUAAUAGCAUGGCGAUACAUUUAUACAACACUUCUACCCUGAGCACAUGCAAUGAAACCGUAGACAGUCAAGUGAAAUCCAAUCCACGAAAUAAUUUGAUAUAUGGACAGCAUC